GACGAACGCUGGCGGCGUGCUUAACACAUGCAAGUCGAACGGAAAGGCCCUGCUUUUGUGGGGUGCUCGAGUGGCGAACGGGUGAGUAACACGUGAGUAACCUGCCCUUGACUUUGGGAUAACUUCAGGAAACUGGGGCUAAUACCGGAUAGGAGCUCCUGCUGCAUGGUGGGGGUUGGAAAGUUUCGGCGGUUGGGGAUGGACUCGCGGCUUAUCAGCUUGUUGGUGGGGUAGUGGCUUACCAAGGCUUUGACGGGUAGCCGGCCGGAGAGGGUGACCGGCCACAUUGGGACUGAGAUACGGCCCAGACUCCUACGGGAGGCAGCAGUGGGGAAUAUUGCACAAUGGGCGGAAGCCUGAUGCAGCAACGCCGCGUGCGGGAUGACGGCCUUCGGGUUGUAAACCGCUGUCGCCUGUGACGAAGCGUGAGUGACGGUAAUGGGUAAAGAAGCACCGGCUAACUACGUG
rnacentral:rRNA from 1 species